UUGAAGAGGUUUGGAAAGACCUACCACAGAAGGUAAUAGUCCUGUAUGUUAAACGAGAAGACUUUAGAUAUGAUCCAGAGUACCACGGGACACGUGAAACCCUGUGGGAAGCAGGAGGGACCACCCUCCAAGGCUAAAUACUACCUAGUGACCGAUAGCGUAUAGUACCGUGAGGGAAAGGUGAAAAGAACCCCGGGAGGGGAGUGAAAUAGAACCUGAAACCCUGCACUUACAAGCUGUGGAAGCACAUUUCUUGUGUGACCGCGUACUUUUUGUAGAACGGGCCAACGAGUUACGUUAAGUAGCAAGGUUAAGCACUUAAGGUGUGGAGCCGUAGCGAAAGCGAGUUUUAACUGAGCGUUCAGUUACUUGACGUAGACCCGAAACCGGGCGACCUACCCAUGAGCAGGAUGAAGCGAAAGUAAAAUUUCGUGGAGGUCCGAACCCACGAGCGUUGAAAAGCUCGGGGAUGACUUGUGGGUAGCGGUGAAAUUCCAAUCGAGCCCGGAGAUAGCUGGUUCUCCCCGAAAUAGCUUUAGGGCUAGCCUCAAGGUGAGAGAUACGGAGGUAGAGCACUGAAUGUCCUAGGGGGUAUUGCACCUACCGAAGACUAUCAAACUCCGAAUGCCGUCAUCUUAUACUUGGGAGUCAGACUGUGGGUGAUAAGAUUCAUAGUCGAAAGGGCAACAGCCCAGAUCGUCAGCUAAGGUCCCUAAAUGUAAGUUAAGUGGUAAAGGAUGUGGGAUUGCACAGACAACCAGGAUGUUGGCUUAGAAGCAGCCACUCAUUCAAAGAGUGCGUAAUAGCUCACUGGUCGAGUGAUCCUGCGCCGAAGAUUUCCGGGGCUAAAACUUACUACCGAAGCUACGGCAUCAGUAAUGAUGGGUAGGGGAGCUUCCCAUACGGGUUGAAGCAUGACCGUAAGGACAUGUGGACAGUAUGGGAGUGAGAAUGUUGGCAUGAGUAGCGAGAUGUGGGUGAGAAUCCCACAGGCCGUAAACCCAAGGUUUCCAGGGGAAGGUUCGUCCGCCCUGGGUUAGUCGGGACCUAAGCUGAGGCCGAAAGGCGUAGGUGAUGGACAACAGGUUGAUAUUCCUGUACUACCGAUAACCGUUUGAGAGAAGGGAUGACACAGUAGGAUAAGCUAAGCACACUGUUGGUUAUGUGUGCCCAAGCAUUGAGGCAGUCAAAGUAGGCAAAUCCGCUUUGAUAAUGCUGGGAUGUGAUGGGGAGCGAAAUUUAGUAGCGAAGUAGCUGAUUUCACACUGUCAAGAAAAGUCUCUAUCGAGGUUAAAGGUACCCGUACCGCAAACCGACACAGGUGGGUGAGGAGAGUAUCCUAAGGCCAGCGAGAGAACUGUUGUUAAGGAACUCGGCAAAAUGACCCCGUAACUUAGGGAUAAGGGGUGCCACCAUUAGGUGGCCGCAGAGAAUAGGCCCAAGCGACUGUUUACCAAAAACAUAGGUUUCUGCUAAGUCGCAAGACGAUGUAUAGGAGCUGACGCCUGCCCGGUGCUGGAAGGUUAAGGGGAUCUGUUAGAGUAAUCGAAGCAGUGAACUUAAGCCCCAGUAAACGGCGGCCGUAACUAUAACGGUCCUAAGGUAGCGAAAUUCCUUGUCGGGUAAGUUCCGACCCGCACGAAAGGCGUAACGAUUUGGGCACUGUCUCAACAACAGACUCGGUGAAAUUGUAAUUCCGGUGAAGAUGCCGGAUACCUGCGACAGGACGGAAAGACCCCAUGGAGCUUUACUGUAGCUUGACAUUGGGUCUUGGUACUACAUGUACAGGAUAGGUGGGAGGCUUUGAAACCAGGACGCCAGUUUUGGCGGAGCCAUCCUUGGGAUACCACCCUUGUAGUACUGGGACUCUAACCAUAGGCCAUGAAUCUGGUCUUGGGACACUGUCAGGUGGGCAGUUUGACUGGGGCGGUCGCCUCCCAAAAGGUAACGGAGGCGCUCAAAGGUUCUCUCAGUACGGUCGGAAAUCGUACGUAGAGUGUAAAGGCAAAAGAGAGCUUGAUUGCAAGACAUACAGGUCGAGCAAGGAUGAAAAUCGGACUUAGUGAUCCGGUGGUUCUGCGUGGAAGGGCCAUCGCUCAACGGAUAAAAGCUACCCUGGGGAUAACAGGCUUAUCUCCCCCAAGAGUCCACAUCGACGGGGAGGUUUGGCACCUCGAUGUCGGCUCAUCACAUCCUGGGGCUGUAGUAGGUCCCAAGGGUUGGGCUGUUCGCCCAUUAAAGUGGUACGCGAGCUGGGUUCAGAACGUCGUGAGACAGUUCGGUCCCUAUCCGUCGCAGGCGUAGGAAAUUUGAGAAGACCUGUCCUUAGUACGAGAGGACCGGGAUGGACG
rnacentral:rRNA from 1 species